rfam:Bombyx mori DNA, contig: Bm_scaf81_contig32849, strain: p50T/Dazao, build 2, whole genome shotgun sequence.
UUAGCUCAUAUUUGUAUGGAAUGGGAUCGUUUGCUUAUGUUUGCCACUAGAGGCGCUGUUUCAAUUGCAUACAAAAUUGCCUUA